rnacentral:rRNA from 1 species
AAUGGCCGCGGUACUUUGACCGUGCUAAGGUAGCGCAAUAGAUUGGCUUUUAAUUGGAGUCAGGUAUGAAUGGAGUCGUAGUUUAGCUGUCUCUAUUUAAUUUGAUUGAAAUUACUAUUUAGGUGCAAAAGCCUAAUAGAAGGAGGACGAGAAGACCCUUAGAGUUUUACUUAAUUUAGUUUACUUUAAGCAGUUUAGUUGGGGCAACUUGGGAGCAGAAUCUCCUUUUAAAAUAAGCCGAUAUUUAUAAGAAAAAUUAAACUACCUUAGGGAUAACAGCAUAAUUUAUUAAAUAAGUUUGUGACCUCGAUGUUGGACUAGGAAGCUAUAAGGUU